rnacentral:rRNA from 1 species
AACUAACGCUGGCGGCGUGCCUAACACAUGCAAGUCGUACGAGAAAGUUGGCUUCGGCCGAUGAGUAAAGUGGCGCACGGGUGAGUAACGCGUGGAUAAUCUGCCUUUUAGUUGGGAAUAACGUACCGAAAGGUGCGCUAAUACCGAAUAAUGCUGCAUUGCUUCGGCGUUGCAGCCAAAGAUGGCCUCUGCUUGCAUGCUGUCGCUGAAGGAUGAGUCCGCGUACCAUUAGCUAGUUGGUAGGGUAAUGGCCUACCAAGGCGACGAUGGUUAGCUGGUCUGAGAGGAUGAUCAGCCACACUGGAACUGAGAUACGGUCCAGACUCCUACGGGUGCAG